CACUCCUGCGGGAGGCAGCAGUGGGGAAUAUUGGACAAUGGGCGCAAGCCUGAUCCAGCCAUGCCGCGUGAGUGAUGAAGGCCCUAGGGUUGUAAAGCUCUUUCACCGGAGAAGAUAAUGACGGUAUCCGGAGAAGAAGCCCCGGCUAACUUCGUGCCAGCAGCCGCGGUAAUACGAAGGGGGCUAGCGUUGUUCGGAAUUACUGGGCGUAAAGCGCACGUAGGCGGAUCGAUCAGUCAGGGGUGAAAUCCCAGGGCUCAACCCUGGAACUGCCUUUGAUACUGUCGAUCUGGAGUAUGGAAGAGGUGAGUGGAAUUCCGAGUGUAGAGGUGAAAUUCGUAGAUAUUCGGAGGAACACCAGUGGCGAAGGCGGCUCACUGGUCCAUUACUGACGCUGAGGUGCGAAAGCGUGGGGAGCAAACAGGAUUAGAAACCCGUGUAGUCCCAUGAU
rnacentral:rRNA from 1 species